rnacentral:rRNA from 1 species
UACGUAGGGUGCAAGCGUUAAUCGGAAUUACUGGGCGUAAAGCGUGCGCAGGCGGUGAUGUAAGACAGAUGUGAAAUCCCCGGGCUCAACCUGGGCACUGCAGUUGAAACUGGCAAGCUAGAGUAGGGUAGAGGGGUGUGGAAUUCCUGGUGUAGCGGUGGAAUGCGCAGAUAUCAGGAGGAACACCAAUAGCGAAGGCAGCUCGCUGGGACGGUACUGACGCUAAGGCGCGAAAGCGUGGGAGCGAACAGG